rnacentral:tmRNA from 1 species
GGGGCCGAUCGGUAUCGACCGGAUAGCUCCGGUAUAUUGUGGCACGUCGAGGUGUACGCUGGCCUCGUAAAACUGCGUACAAAAACCAUAAAUGCCAAUGACACAAACGUCAUCGGUCGCAUCGGCUUUGGUCAAACUCAGCCCAUGCGCAUGGCUGCCUGAUACAGGCAUCCUCGUUGCGGCAUCACUUGUCUGUGGUGAUGUCACAACGGCGACUUAGCAGACUCGUCCAACUGUGAUGUCUUAGCACACGCGGAUUAAACAACACUCAGGCUCGAACCCAAACAUGCUGUCGCUGGCAGGGGCGGGUUUUAAACUCAAAUCAACGACUAAACGUGUAGAGGCAAUAUAUCAACUACCACGGGACGGGGGUUCAAUUCCCCCCGGCUCCAU